UGUCUCUAAUUUAACCGUCAUUUUCCAUGUGACGAAAUUCGGUUUUAUUAAAUCAAAAUCAAAACCAUUCGAGCCGCCAUCGUUUAUCUGCUUCGACACCAACCAAAGAUUCAUCCAUCCAUACACAAGCAAGCAGGGAUUAGAAUACUAACAAUGGAUAAGAAAGAAUCUGGGGAGAAGGCCUCUGAGGAUGCGACUCGUGAGUCACUAAUUGCAAUUUCAUAUGGAGCACCAGAUCUAACUGCUAAAAUGUCACCUAAAAGUAAAGCAGAGGAGAAUGUAGUCAAACCUCAUAGGCAUGAUGAAGAUGAGAUAUAUAGGUCUAAGUUGAUGUCCAUAUCAUCUUCACCAUCUUCAAAUAUGAAAGUCCAACCAGUCCUGCCCGGGCAACCUCAUCCUUAGCCUGGACAACAGACACGACUGAAUUUAAUCCCUUACUGCAGGGGGCUUCAGUGUAUUUAACGCUUUAUUAAACUGUUACCAUUUUAAGACUGCCAUGGUGAUAGAUAUACUGUCUCAUGUUUAAAAUCUUUAUACUGUAAAAUUAUUCAGACAUGUACACUGCAUAAGUAGGCAGUGGCAAUGGCAGCCAUCGCUGCAAAAAUGUUGUCUUUUGGCUUCUACUCCUACUGCAGUCAUACUUUCAAACUUCUAGUCACGAAUAAGUUUUGUUUGUGCCUUCCAUCAAUUUCCAAUGGAUUUAUCUGUGAGAAUCCAGUCGGAGAAAAUAAAAGAUCGUUUCGGUGAUAAACCAAAUAUAGGGUCAUGUAUGUCCAAAAUCAUUUAUGAAAUGUUUCACAUGUCUGUGAGCUCUAUACCUUAGACCUCUAA